GCUCGCUGUGGUAUUGGGACAAAAAGUCCACGGGAUUUUCUAACCUGGCUUUCCCUUGUCAGUCGUGCAGGGCCGGAUGCGGCCUGGCUAGUCACAGCGUUUUGUCGUUCGGAUGUGAUUUAAAUCCAACGUCUCGUGGAUACGUUUUUGUGCACAUAAAAGGAUCCUAGAGACAUAAUUGGAUUUCGAAAUAAGAGUUGGCCGCAGCGCCGCUGUCCGGGUAAAGGGACGUGGGGCCUAUAUGUCCGUCUUCGGUAGCCCGGUUGGAGCAGAACGGUAGAUCAUUUCCAACAAACUCCAGAUCAUAAUACGACUAAUAUCACAUUCGAGACUCCUUUGAUAAAAAUGCCAAUCACGGAAAGCGUUGUCAGUAGCGUAGCCCAGUCAAUAGCCCAAUCAGUGCAAAAAUGUAGGGCGUUAAGCCCCCUGUCAUUUUGCCCAUCCCCUAUAUAUUAAUUAAUAAUUCAUCGUUUAAAUCAUUAUAUUUUAUUUCCACUCUGAUCACUAUUUAAUAUCCCAGGAUUUAACUACUUUUGUGUUUUAUUUUUGAACGAAACUAUCCUUCUGUAUAUAAUUUUUUUUAUAUUCGUGUGUUCUGAGGGAAAUUUUGCUGUCCAAUCCUGAUAUUCUUCUUAGGCUACUUUUAGUGAGUCAUCAUUUUAAACUAGUCUUUGUAAACCUUCAAAAUAAAUGACAAGACGGUUUUACAGUAAGCGAGGCUUUUCGUGUCUGUGUGUUCUUCUUUUUUCAUGUCAAUCAUGUGCCCGAUGAGAAAACUGUAAUUGACACAUUACCUCGACUGGAUGCACCGCCGGUGUUUUUGUACUGGAUGACAGAAGCUACCUUGUGUUUUAAGAUUAAGAAGUUUUGACAUGCGCAUCUAUGUUACAAUUUCAUGGAGAAUCAACAAGGAGGGAACAAUGGCAGGCCGUUUAGAUGGAGGGUUUAAUCAACAACCACCACCCACUUAUGAGCAAACUUAUAUGAAUUCACCGGUAACCGGACAAACCCAAUAUGCAACACACCAAGUAACCGGUAUCCCCUUUCCACCUGCAUUAACACCACAUCCACAAAGGGAAAAUUUAAUGGGACCUCAACUUGGACCGUGUGGUGGGACUGGCAUAUCCAGAAAACAAUUUAAUAUCUUAUUAGGGUGUGUACUUUUCAUUGGAAUGGUGAUGUGGACUACAUAUUAUUUUUGCAACAGGCAACAGGACGUAACAUGUUUACCAUGUGUUAAUGGAACUUAUAUUUAGAUGAAUUCAAGAAAUACUCAAAAGAACUGCUGUCAACUUGAUAGAUAUUUAAAUGAUAGAUCGUAAUA